AGUGAACGCUGGCGGUGGGCCUAACACAUGCAAGUCGAACGGCAGCACAGUAAGAGCUUGCUCUUACGGGUGGCGAGUGGCGGACGAGUGAGGAAUACAUCGGAAUCUACUUUUUCGUGGGGGAUAACGUAGGGAAACUUACGCUAAUACCGCAUACGACCUACGGGUGAAAGCAGGGGAUCUUCGGACCUUGCGCGAUUGAAUGAGCCGAUGUCGGAUUAGCUAGUUGGCGGGGUAAAGGCCCACCAAGGCGACGAUCCGUAGCUGGUCUGAGAGGAUGAUCAGCCACACUGGAACUGAGACACGGUCCAGACUCCUACGGGAGGCAGCAGUGGGGAAUAUUGGACAAUGGGCGCAAGCCUGAUCCAGCCAUACCGCGUGGGUGAAGAAGGCCUUCGGGUUGUAAAGCCCUUUUGUUGGCAAAGAAAAGCAGCAGGUUAAUACCCCGCUGUUCUGACGGUACCCAAAGAAUAAGCACCGGCUAACUUCGUG
rnacentral:rRNA from 1 species